rnacentral:rRNA from 1 species
CCAGACUCCUACGGGAGGCAGCAGUGAGGAAUAUUGGUCAAUGGGCGGGAGCCUGAACCAGCCAAGUCGCGUGAGGGAUGACGGCCCUAUGGGUUGUAAACCUCUUUUGCCGGGGAGCAAAGUGCCGCACGUGUGCGGUUUGGAGAGUACCCGGAGAAAAAGCAUCGGCUAACUCCGUGCCAGCAGCCGCGGUAAUACGGAGGAUGCGAGCGUUAUCCGGAUUUAUUGGGUUUAAAGGGUGCGUAGGCGGGAGAUCAAGUCAGCGGUAAAAGUGCGGGGCCCAACCCCGUCGAGCCGUUGAAACUGGUUUUCUUGAGUGGGCGAGAGGUAUGCGGAAUGCGUGGUGUAGCGGUGAAAUGCAUAGAUAUCACGCAGAACCCCGAUUGCGAAGGCAGCAUACCGGCGCCCAACUGACGCUGAGGCACGAAAGCGUGGGUAUCGAACAGGAUUAGAUACCCUCGUAC